GAUGAACGCUGACAGAAUGCUUAACACAUGCAAGUCUACCAAGAAUCACUUCGGUGAGGAAUGGUGGCGGACGGGUGAGUAACGCGUAAAUAAUCUGCCCUUUAGACUGGGAUAUCCUUUGGAAACGAAGGUUAAUACCGGAUAUUAUGAGAUGGACGCAUGUUCAACUUAUGAAAGCUAAAUGCACUAGAGGAGGAGUUUGCGUCCCAUUAGCUAGUUGGUGAGGUAAAGGCUCACCAAGGCCACGAUGGGUAGCCAGCCUGAGAGGGUGAACGGCCACAAGGGAACUGAGACACGGUCCUUACUCCUACGGGGGGCAGCAGUGGGGAAUAUUGGACAAUGGACCAAAAGUCUGAUCCAGCAAUUCUGUGUGCACGAUGAAGGUCUUCUGAUUGUAAAGUGCUUUCAGUAGGGAAGAAAAAAAUGACGGUACCUACAGAAGAAGCCACGGCUAAAUACGUGCCAGCCGCCGCGGUAA
rnacentral:rRNA from 1 species